rnacentral:rRNA from 1 species
AUGCUUGAGUAGUAAGAGAUACGGUCUUGAAACUCAAAGAAUUUGGCGGUGUUUUAGUCCUUUCAGAGGAACCUGUCCCAUAAUCGAUAUUCCACGUUAUACCUUACUUAAUCUUGAUUUUCAGUUUGUAUAUCGCCGUCGUCAGAAUGUCCUAGGAGGGGUUUAAUUUUCUUUAAUUUACAUAUAAUAAAAAGAUGUCAGGUCAAGGUGCAGCUUAUGGUUAAGUGGAGAUGGGUUACAAUAAAUUUAUUUACUACGGAGGGUUGUUUGGAAUUAAUGGCUUGAAGGUGGAUUUGAAUGUAAUUUUAUAUAGUAUAUUAAAUUGAUUUUGGCUCUAGAACAUGCACACAUCGCCCGUCGCUCUUA